GGGAUUUUAGCUCAGCCGGGAGAGCACUUGCUUCACACGCAAGGGGUCGUCGGUUCAAGUCCGGCAAAUCCCACCA
rnacentral:tRNA from 1 species